rnacentral:lncRNA from 1 species
CGGGGAGGGCCAGGUCUGGGCUUCAGAGGCCGCCCCCGAGCCACUUCAUCCUCUCCCGCCUCCCUGGCUCCCUCCCCAUUUCCUCCCCCCACGGGUCCUCCCGGGCCUUCCGCCCCCUUCUGCAGUUACCUGUCCCCUCCCCCACUCGGCACGCACCUCCCCUUUCCCCCGCGCCCACCUCCGACCUCCGGACCCUGGACUCGCAGCCGCGUCGCGCUCGCUCCCCGCGCCGGCCGCCCCCUCCGCUCUUUCUCCUGGGGGCAGGCGGGCGGAAUGGGGGGCGCUGAGCCUCGGAGGCGGCGCGAGCGGAGACCCGGGCGCCCAGACAAUAGUUGAUGCCGGGGGGACGGGGGCACCUCCGCCCCCCCACUUUGCCAGGAUCGCGGCCCCCGCCGGCAGCUCUCCAGCCUGCAUUCCGGGUCCCCCUCGGAGCCAGGCUCCGGAGUUGGGCACAUUCCGCCCCCGCCUCCCCGGACCCCCCUGCGUUCGGCGCCCGCCCCGGCCCGGCCUCGCUGCCUGCCGUUCUCCGCAGAGGAGGCGGCGAGGAGCGCGCGCCGACCGUCUACACGGUUUCUCUUUCUCCCCAGGGAGAGCGCGCGGCGGACGCGCCCCGGACGCGCGGCGGCACCCGGAGGCCGGGCCCAGCGACCUUGAAGGCCAGGGCUGUGUCUUUUGCAACUUUGUAUUCCCAGAGCCUAACCCUAAAUGCAUCCCGG